UUUACCUCUUCUUCCUUCACUCGAAUUCAUAAACUCACUUUUGUCUUAAUUAUCUCGUGGUCAUAUCUCUCAUCCUACUCACCCAAAUUAAGUGAUUCUUGAGCCUAAAUGGAAGUCCAGAAUGUGAACUUUCACCUCGUUUCAGAAUCACUUCAAUUAAAGUUAUAUAGCUCGAGAUAUCGAUAUUUCUAAAAUACUGUUCAACUCACCUUCUCAAUUUUUCAAAUUUCCUUCAAGGUUCUAACCCUAUCCCUAAAUAUCCUAAGUAGUCCUUGUACAAAUGGAGUUCACAUUAGAGAGGGGGAGAGGUAGAGAGAGAGAUAUAUUAGACAAUUUUUCUAAAUAUCAAUUCGUUCUAUAAGAUGAAAUUUGUGUUCAUAUUGAUAAUUGCUUGUAGAAACUUGGCUUCUCUUAGAACCUAUUAGAAAGUGAAGCAUUUCUUCAUCUCCUCUCCAUUUUUGUACAAAUCACGGCCUUUUCCUCCAUGGAAAUCAAUUAUCCAGUUCGUCCACAAGAAGGAACUACAUCAACCAUCUUAUCAUGGUCAACCAGUUGAAAAAAGUUG
rnacentral:sRNA from 1 species